CAGAUUGUAAGGAAUCGUACCCCAAACCGACACAGGUGGUCGGGUAGAGAAUACCAAGGCGCUUGAGAGAACUCGGGUGAAGGAACUAGGCAAAAUGGUACCGUAACUUCGGGAGAAGGUACGCUCUCGACGGUGAAGUCCCUCGCGGAUGGAGCUAUUGAGAGUCGCAGAUACCAGGUGGCUGCAACUGUUUAUUAAAAACACAGCACUGUGCAAAAUCGUAAGAUGACGUAUACGGUGUGACGCCUGCCCGGUGCCGGAAGGUUAAUUG
rnacentral:rRNA from 1 species